UACGUAGGGGGCAAGCGUUGUCCGGAUUUAUUGGGCGUAAAGAGCGUGUAGGCGGCUUUACAGGUCCGUUGUGAAAACUCGAGCUCAACCUCGAGACGCCGGUGGAAACCAUCUAGCUAGAGUCCGGAAGAGGAGAGUGGAAUUCCUGGUGUAGCGGUGAAAUGCGCAGAUAUCAGGAAGAACACCCGUGGCGGAAGGCGGCUCUCUGGGACGUGACUGACGCUGAGACGCGAAAGCGUGGGGAGCGAACAGG
rnacentral:rRNA from 1 species